CAUUUUGACACCAUUUGCAUUUCCUUAAUAGCAGAGACAUUAGUUAGCAAGGAUAAUUAGUCAGACUAGGAAGCUGCCAGAUGGCCUGGACACAUUCUUCUUCCCCUCUCUGGACAUGGUCAUCAGCCACCCCCAAGCAGCCUCGUAGUGUCCCCCUCCUUGAUGAGUUGGUGUUCUGAGGUUUCCCAACAGGACCACAGUUGGGGUCUCUGCACCCAUGGUUAAUCUGAGGCACCAGUUAAUGGCACUUGCCCCAGGCACCAAAUUUGCUAGUUACUGCACUGGGUAAAGUUGACCCUGAGUGUACCCAUUAUGCCUGACAAUGGGAGGCCCCAGGCAAGAGGGUUUUCAUCAUCCUUUGCCUCAGGCUGCUCCAUCUGUAAAACCAGACUAAUCAGAGCAAGCAGAGGGCUGAGGUUGCAGCCAAGUGGAGGUUUCCUGGCUGGAAAUUUCUCCAAGAGGCAAAUAGAACCUGUGCAUGGAAUCCACAUAGCCUGGAGUGGAUGGCUGGAUUGUUGGACCUGCUCUCUGAAGGGAAGGGUCAAUAACAAAUUAAUGGGAUCAGUGGCCCCAUUAAUCUUCCUAUAAUGAAGAACAUCUCAAGCAAACCCUGGUCCCUGCCAUCUUGGAAGACAUUUCAGCCCAGAAGGAGAUGGGCUAUAUGCAGGAGUCUCUUAUCAAGGAGAUGCAAGGGGACUGGGCAGGGGAGCCUUCCCUCAAUUGGAUGGGGCACUGGCCUGACCCAAGACCCUCAUGCAGAGCCUUCGGACCAGAGGAGAUCUGGUUGGGACACAUGGACACAUGGCCCUGUGGUGCUCGGUCAUCUUCCUCCUUUCCUCUCCCUUCUCCUGCCUUCACUUGGCUUUCAUGUGACUGAAGCUAAUUAUUAUUUAGCAGCCUGGACUGAUUCACUAUGUGUCGAAGGUGGGACUCACUAACGUCUUCCUGGCUCCAUUCUGGUACUCUGUCCCCUAUGCCUGGGUUAGUGACCUAAUGGCACACAUGCUGGCAUGUGGGAAGGAAGCUGCUCUCUUCCCCCUCUCCAUGCCUGCCUGAGGAUAUUUCUUCCAUCACUGGCCCCCUCUGCCCAGCAGCCCAAAGGGAAUGCUUCUUCCCUCCCCUGUCUGGAUUAAAGGGGUGGCUCACAUGCAGUUUGAGGGUUCCAGUUUGGGCACUCAGACUCUAAAAAGUUUGCCAUCACUGUCCUAUGCUAUUCUUUCUUUUUAUCAAGACAAAAUGAAGGAAUUGACAUCUAAGAUCUCUUCUAGUCCAUCUUUUGGAUUUUAAGGCCCUUUCUGGCUCUUCAUGAUGUUAUGGGGUUCAGAUGUAUACCCCUGGGGUUCAGGAAGGACACCUUUUGCAAGAAUGCAAA
rnacentral:lncRNA from 1 species